rnacentral:rRNA from 1 species
GGAUCAUUAAAAGUAAAUAUAUAUUCAUUCGAAUAUACAUUUCUAACCCCUUGUCUAAACCACCUGUUGCUUCCGGCUGUUUGGGCUGUAUAGUUAGCUGUAUAGCCUGGCCGGAAGGUUAACAUAAAAUAUUGUAUUUAGAGUCUUCUGAAUUUUAAAAUAAAAGUUAAAACUUUCAACAACGGAUCUCUUGGUUCUCGCAUCGAUGAAGAACGCAGCGAAAUGCGAUAAGUAGUGUGAAUUGCAGAAUUCAGUGAAUCAUCGAAUCUUUGAACGCACAUUGCGCCUUCCGGUAUUCCGGAAGGCAUGCCUGUCCGAGCGUCAUCAAAAACCACUCAAGUAGUUUUGCUUGGUUAUGAAAGAAGAGUUUGCUUGCGAAUUCCCUUUCGAAAUUCAAUGGCGGAGGGUCUCAUGAUUCCGGCGUAGUAAUAACUUAUUCGCUUGGUCAUUGUGACAAUCCUGCCUCAAACCCCCAAUUCUAGUGUUUGACCUCGGAUCAGGUAGGGAUACCCGCUGAACUUAAGCAUAUCAAUAAAGCGGAGGA